CCUACGGGUGACAGCAGUGAGGAAUAUUGGUCAAUGGGCGAGAGCCUGACCCAGCCAAGUCGCGUGAGGGAAGACGGUCCUAUGGAUUGUACACCCCUUUUGCCGGGGAGCAAAGCGCGGUACGUGUACCGCAUCGAGAGUACCCGGAGAAAAAGCAUCGGCUAACUCCGUGCCAGCAGCCGCGGUAAUACGGGGGAUGCGAGGGUUAUCCGGAUUUAUGGGGUUUACAGGGUGCGCAGUUGUCUGGUUAAGUCAGCGGUAAAAUUUCGGGGCUCAACCCCGACAAGCCGUUGAAACUGGCUUGCUAGAGUGGGUGAGAAGUAUGCGGAAUGCGUGGUGUAGCGGUGAAAUGCAUAGAUAUCACGCAGAACAUCGAUUGCGAAGGCAGCAUACCGGCGCCCAACUGACGCUCAGGCACGAAAGCGUGGGUAUCGAACAGGAUUAGAUACCCCGGUAGUC
rnacentral:rRNA from 1 species